rnacentral:rRNA from 1 species
CCCUUAGACGUUCUGGGCCGCACGCGCGCUACACUGACCAGUGCAACAAGCAUCCGUCCUUGGCCGACAGGCCCGGGCAAUCUUUGAACGCUGGUCGUGAUGGGGAUAGACUUUUGCAAUUUUUGGUCUUCAACGAGGAAUUCCUAGUAAACGCAAGUCAUCAACUUGCAUUGAUUACGUCCCUGCCCUUUGUACACACCGCCCGUCGCACCUACCGAUUGAAUGGUCCGGUGAAGCCCCCGGAUUGGCGCGCACCUCGGUGCCGCCGAGAAGUUGGCUAAACCUUACCAUUUAGAGGAAGGUGAAGUCGUAACA